rnacentral:lncRNA from 1 species
UUUGGAUUUAAGUGAGACAGAGUUGCACAGUUGUCAGUCUCAUUUUCUCUUCCAGAGUCAUCAAAAUCCAGUGGCCAUUCAAAAGUCAGAAUGAUGAGCAGUGGUCCCAUAUGCAUUGAGAAUCUUUGAUGUGAGAGUUGGAUGAGAGAAUGGAAGCUGGCUGAGAGAAAGAGCUGGACUCUGUUUCCCCCUUUCCCCCCUAAUUUGAAUUCCCAAAAGCUAACACAGUGUCUGCCAUCUAGCAAACAUCGCACUCAGAUAUUUCUGGUCUGAAGCACAAAGAAAUGAAAUGAUUUAUCUAAGGUCACCCAAGGAAAAUAUCUAAGGUAAGAUUUUAACCCAGGACUUCCUGGCCCUAAAAGAUAGCUCUAACCACUGUGUCAAGCUAGCUCUCCUGUGUAUAUAGCUAAAUAAAUGUAAAUUAAUAUGGAAUGUAAAUAUUUAC